rnacentral:lncRNA from 1 species
GGCGUUGUCAGUUUAUUUUCGAUCUAUGAGUUGAUUGUCCCUCUGAUAUCUUUCGCCACUCCUUUAUGUCUCAAUUCAAACGGAUACCGUUUAAACAAAGUCCCCAACGUUUAGCUUAAACUAUUAAUUUUCAUUAAUGUAAGUCAGGGACAGAUCCAGGUGAGGACGUAAUGGGUGUACUCCCCUCCCCUUUAAAAACUAAAAAAAAAACUAACGUCAUCUCUUAAGUUGACCAAGAAUGAUAUGAGAACACCGUCAAUAAGGAUGGUUUAAAUGCUCUGCUUCUUCUUUAUGUUCAAAGAGACAUUAACCUCGAUUAUGAUAAAGUAAUUGACGAUUACGCCAUAAAAACCUCCCAUCUAGAUAGCCUUUGGUAGUAUCAUAUUGUUUCAAUAUCCAUUAGUGAGUAACUCAAUGACAUUGACCUACAUGUUGUCAUAACGUUCAAGCACCAUGUAUAAUUAUGUACCAUAUACCACCUAUCGGAACUAGACAGUGAUAUGAUAUUGUUUUAAUUUGGUACUGUAGUACAAUGACGUCAAUUUUUCAUAUUCAAUCAUGUUUUCCACAUUAAAGCCUAC